GGUCAAGUGAAGAAGCGCAUACGGUGGAUGCCUUGGCAGUCAGAGGCGAUGAAAGACGUGGUAGCCUGCGAUAAGCUUCGGGGAGUCGGCAAACAGACUUUGAUCCGGAGAUCUCUGAAUGGGGGAACCCACUCAGCAUAAGCUGAGUAUCUUGUACUGAAUACAUAGGUGCAAGAGGCGAACCAGGGGAACUGAAACAUCUAAGUACCCUGAGGAAAAGAAAUCAACCGAGAUUCCCUUAGUAGUGGCGAGCGAACGGGGACUAGCCCUUAAGUGGCUUUGAGAUUAGCGGAACGCUCUGGAAAGUGCGGCCAUAGUGGGUGAUAGCCCUGUACGCGAAAAUCUCUUAGUCAUGAAAUCGAGUAGGACGGAGCACGAGAAACUUUGUCUGAAUAUGGGGGGACCAUCCUCCAAGGCUAAAUACUACUGACUGACCGAUAGUGAACCAGUACCGUGAGGGAAAGGCGAAAAGAACCCCGGAGAGGGGAGUGAAAUAGAACCUGAAACCGUAUGCGUACAAGCAGUGGGAGCCUACUUUGUUAGGUGACUGCGUACCUUUUGUAUAAUGGGUCAGCGACUUAUAUUCAGUGGCGAGCUUAACCGAAUAGGGGAGGCGUAGCGAAAGCGAGUCUUAAUAGGGCGUUUAGUCGCUGGGUAUAGACCCGAAACCGGGCGAUCUAUCCAUGGGCAGGUUGAAGGUUAGGUAACACUGACUGGAGGACCGAACCGACUACCGUUGAAAAGUUAGCGGAUGACCUGUGGAUCGGAGUGAAAGGCUAAUCAAGCUCGGAGAUAGCUGGUUCUCCUCGAAAGCUAUUUAGGUAGCGCCUCAUGUAUCACUGUAGGGGGUAGAGCACUGUUUCGGCUAGGGGGUCAUCCCGACUUACCAAACCGAUGCAAACUCCGAAUACCUACAAGUGCCGAGCAUGGGAGACACACGGCGGGUGCUAACGUCCGUCGUGAAAAGGGAAACAACCCAGACCGUCAGCUAAGGUCCCAAAGUCAUGGUUAAGUGGGAAACGAUGUGGGAAGGCUUAGACAGCUAGGAGGUUGGCUUAGAAGCAGCCACCCUUUAAAGAAAGCGUAAUAGCUCACUAGUCGAGUCGGCCUGCGCGGAAGAUGUAACGGGGCUCAAACCAUGCACCGAAGCUACGGGUAUCACUUAGGUGAUGCGGUAGAGGAGCGUUCUGUAAGCCUGUGAAGGUGAGUUGAGAAGCUUGCUGGAGGUAUCAGAAGUGCGAAUGCUGACAUGAGUAACGACAAUGGGAGUGAAAAACUCCCACGCCGAAAGACCAAGGUUUCCUGCGCAACGUUAAUCGACGCAGGGUUAGUCGGUCCCUAAGGCGAGGCUGAAAAGCGUAGUCGAUGGAAAACAGGUUAAUAUUCCUGUACUUCUGGUUAUUGCGAUGGAGGGACGGAGAAGGCUAGGCCAGCUUGGCGUUGGUUGUCCAAGUUUAAGGUGGUAGGCUGAGAUCUUAGGUAAAUCCGGGAUCUUAAGGCCGAGAGCUGAUGACGAGUUGCCUUUAGGCGACGAAGUGGUUGAUGCCAUGCUUCCAAGAAAAGCUUCUAAGCUUCAGAUAACCAGGAACCGUACCCCAAACCGACACAGGUGGUUGGGUAGAGAAUACCAAGGCGCUUGAGAGAACUCGGGUGAAGGAACUAGGCAAAAUGGCACCGUAACUUCGGGAGAAGGUGCGCCGGUGAGGGUGAAGGACUUGCUCCGUAAGCUCAUGCCGGUCGAAGAUACCAGGCCGCUGCGACUGUUUAUUAAAAACACAGCACUCUGCAAACACGAAAGUGGACGUAUAGGGUGUGACGCCUGCCCGGUGCCGGAAGGUUAAUUGAUGGGGUUAGCUAACGCGAAGCUCUUGAUCGAAGCCCCGGUAAACGGCGGCCGUAACUAUAACGGUCCUAAGGUAGCGAAAUUCCUUGUCGGGUAAGUUCCGACCUGCACGAAUGGCGUAACGAUGGCGGCGCUGUCUCCACCCGAGACUCAGUGAAAUUGAAAUCGCUGUGAAGAUGCAGUGUAUCCGCGGCUAGACGGAAAGACCCCGUGAACCUUUACUAUAGCUUUGCACUGGACUUUGAAUUUGCUUGUGUAGGAUAGGUGGGAGGCUUUGAAGCGUGGACGCCAGUUCGCGUGGAGCCAUCCUUGAAAUACCACCCUGGCAACUUUGAGGUUCUAACUCAGGUCCGUUAUCCGGAUCGAGGACAGUGUAUGGUGGGUAGUUUGACUGGGGCGGUCUCCUCCUAAAGAGUAACGGAGGAGUACGAAGGUGCGCUCAGACCGGUCGGAAAUCGGUCGUAGAGUAUAAAGGCAAAAGCGCGCUUGACUGCGAGACAGACACGUCGAGCAGGUACGAAAGUAGGUCUUAGUGAUCCGGUGGUUCUGUAUGGAAGGGCCAUCGCUCAACGGAUAAAAGGUACUCCGGGGAUAACAGGCUGAUACCGCCCAAGAGUUCAUAUCGACGGCGGUGUUUGGCACCUCGAUGUCGGCUCAUCACAUCCUGGGGCUGAAGCCGGUCCCAAGGGUAUGGCUGUUCGCCAUUUAAAGUGGUACGCGAGCUGGGUUUAGAACGUCGUGAGACAGUUCGGUCCCUAUCUGCCGUGGACGUUUGAGAUUUGAGAGGGGCUGCUCCUAGUACGAGAGGACCGGAGUGGACGAACCUCUGGUGUUCCGGUUGUCACGCCAGUGGCAUUGCCGGGUAGCUAUGUUCGGGAGAGAUAACCGCUGAAAGCAUCUAAGCGGGAAACUUGCCUCAAGAUGAGAUCUCACUGGAGCCUUGAGCUCCCUGAAGGGCCGUCGAAGACUACGACGUUGAUAGGUUGGGUGUGUAAGCGCUGUGAGGCGUUGAGCUAACCAAUACUAAUUGCCCGUGAGGCUUGACCAU
rnacentral:rRNA from 1 species